rnacentral:misc_RNA from 1 species
GAUGAAGAACGGAGCGAAAUGCGAUACUUGGUGUGAAUUGCAGAAUCCCGUGAACCAUCGAGUCUUUGAACGCAAGUUGCGCCCGAAGCCACUAGGCCGAGGGCACGCCUGCCUGGGCGUCACACGCCGUUGCCCCCCCAUCAACUCCUUCGGGAUUGCGGGGGGGCGGAUGAUGGCCUCCUGUGCGCCUAGCCGCGCGGUUGGCAUAAAUACCAAGUCCUCGGCGACGCACGCCACGACAAUCGGUGGUUGCGAAACCUCGGUUGCCCGUCGUGUGCGUUCGUCGCGCAUCGAGGGCUCGAAAAAAUGCUCGGCUCCGGCUGGGCUUUCAACGCGACCCCAGGUCAGGCGGGGUUACCCGCUGAAUUUAAGCAUAUCAAUAAGCGGAGGA